GUGCUCGCUUCGGCAGCACAUAUACUAAAAUUGGAAUGAUACAGAGAAGAUUAGCAUGGCCCCCAAGGAUGACACGCAAAUUCGUGAAGCAUUUCAUCACCUG